rnacentral:misc_RNA from 1 species
GUAGGUGAACCUGCGGAAGGAUCAUUAAAAGAACGGGGAGGCGUGUUCUCGGUUUCUCUGGGAAUCGGGACGCGCUUCCUUUUAGUAUCCAAAUUCAUUAUUUUUUUUUGUUUCGGAAUCCGGCGAUUACAUGCUCGAUUCCAAAAUGUAAUAUAAACAAAACUUUCAACAAUGGAUCUCUUGGCUCUUGCAUCGAUGAAGAACGCAGCAUCUGACUGACUCGACAGCUG